ACUGAAAUUGCUGAGUCAUAUAGUAAGUGUAUGUUUCGUUUUAAAAUAAAUUGUGAAACUUUUCCAAAGUGGCUGAGCCACUUUACAUUUCCACCAGGAAU
rnacentral:pre_miRNA from 1 species